rnacentral:rRNA from 1 species
CAGGCCUAACACAUGCAAGUCGAGCGGGCAUCUUCGGGUGUCAGCGGCGGACGGGUGAGUAACGCGUGGGAACGUGCCCUCUGGUUCGGAACAACCCUGGGAAACUAGGGCUAAUACCGGAUACGCCUGUGAUCUUUGGGGUCGCAGGGAAAGGCUUGCUGCCGGAGGAUCGGCCCGCGUCUGAUUAGCUAGUUGGGGGGGUAACGGCCCACCAAGGCGACGAUCAGUAGCUGGUCUGAGAGGAUGAUCAGCCACACUGGGACUGAGACACGGCCCAGACUCCUACGGGAGGCAGCAGUGGGGAAUAUUGGACAAUGGGCGCAAGCCUGAUCCAGCCAUGCCGCGUGAGUGAUGAAGGCCUUAGGGUUGUAAAGCUCUUUUAUCCGGGACGAUAAUGACGGGAGAUAAAGAAUCGCCCAUGUUUAUCAUGAUUUGUCCUUCACGUGAUAAUAUA